GACGAACGCUGGCGGCGUGCUUAACACAUGCAAGUCGAACGGAAAGGCCCCUUUGGGGGUACUCGAGUGGCAAACGGGUGAGUAACACGUGAGUAACCUGCCCUUGACUUCGGGAUAACUUCAGGAAACUGGGGCUAAUACCGGAUAGGAAUCCUUGCUGCAUGGUGGGGGUUGGAAAGCUUCGGCGGUUUUGGAUGGACUCGCGGCUUAUCAGCUUGUUGGUGGGGUAGUGGCUUACCAAGGCUUUGACGGGUAGCCGGCCUGAGAGGGCGACCGGCCACAUUGGGACUGAGAUACGGCCCAGACUCCUACGGGAGGCAGCAGUGGGGAAUAUUGCACAAUGGGCGGAAGCCUGAUGCAGCAACGCCGCGUGCGGGAGGACGGCCUUCGGGUUGUAAACCGCUUUCAGCAGGGGCGAAGCUUGUGGUGACGGUACCUGCAGAAGAAGCACCGGCUAACUACGUG
rnacentral:rRNA from 1 species